rnacentral:rRNA from 1 species
UAUACUGAUGUGGAAUCACAUUAAUAUUAAAGAUUUAUCGGUACAAGAUGAGCAUGCGUCCCAUUAGCUAGUUGGUAUGGUAACGGCAUACCAAGGCAAUGAUGGGUAGGGGUCCUGAGAGGGAGAUCCCCCACACUGGUACUGAGACACGGACCAGACUCCUACGGGAGGCAGCAGUGAGGAAUAUUGGACAAUGGGCGCAAGCCUGAUCCAGCCAUGCCGCGUGCAGGAUGACGGUCCUAUGGAUUGUAAACUGCUUUUAUACGGGAAGAAACCCUGGCUCGUGAGCCAGAUUGACGGUACCGUAGGAAUAAGGAUCGGCUAACUCCGUGCCAGCAGCCGCGGUAAUACGGAGGAUCCAAGCGUUAUCCGGAAUCAUUGGGUUUAAAGGGUCCGUAGGCGGCUUUAUAAGUCAGUGGUGAAAUCCGGCAGCUCAACUGUCGAACUGCCAUUGAUACUGUAGAGCUUGAAUUAUUGUGAAGUAACUAGAAUAUGUAGUGUAGCGGUGAAAUGCUUAGAGAUUACAUGGAAUACCAAUUGCGAAGGCAGGUUACUAACAAUCGAUUGACGCUGAUGGACGAAAGCGUGGGUAGCGAACAGGAUUAGAUACCCUGGUAGUCCACGCCGUAAACGAUGGAUACUAGCUGUUUGGCAGCAAUGCUGAGUGGCUAAGCGAAGUGAUAAGUAUCCCACCUGGGGGAGUACGAACGCAAGUUUGAAACUC